rnacentral:rRNA from 1 species
UACGUAGGUGGCAAGCGUUGUCCGGAUUUACUGGGCGUAAAGAGCGCGCAGGCGGUCGUUCAAGUCGCGUGUGAAAGCCCCCGGCUCAACUGGGGAGGGUCACGCGAUACUGAUCGACUCGAAGGCAGGAGAGGGUAGUGGAAUUCCCGGUGUAGUGGUGAAAUGCGUAGAUAUCGGGUGGAACACCCGUGGCUAAGGCGGCUCUCUAGUACGGUACUGACGCUGAGACGCGAAAGCGUGGGGAGCGAACAGG